rnacentral:misc_RNA from 1 species
AAGUCGUAACAAGGUUUCCGUAGGUGAACCUGCGGAAGGAUCAUUACUGAGAUUUGGCCUCCGGGCCAGAACUCCCAACCACUGUCUACCUAUACUUUGUUGCUUCGGCAGGCCGGGGUCCGCCCCACUGGCUCUCAGGGCCGGGCAGCGCCUGCCAGAGGACACCAAAAACCUGUGUUAGUGUCGUCUGAGUAUAAUUUAAUCAUUAAAACUUUCAACAACGGAUCUCUUGGUUCUG